rnacentral:rRNA from 1 species
AGCAGCCGCGGUAAUUCCAGCUCCAAUAGCGUAUAUUAAAGUUGUUGCAGUUAAAAAGCUCGUAGUUGAAUUUCGGGGUCAGUACGCCGGUCGUGCCUUCGGUAUGCACUGGUGUCACUGAUUCCUCCCUUCUGAAGAACCGUUAUGCCAUUCAUUUGGUGUGACGGGGAAUCAGGACUGUUACUUUGAAAAAAUUAGAGUGUUUAAAGCAGGCUCGCGCUUGAAUACAUUAGCAUGGAAUAAUGAAAUAGGACGUUUGAUCUUAUUUUGUUGGUUUU